UUUUAUGGAGAGUUUGAUCCUGGCUCAGGAUGAACGCUGGCGGCGUGCCUAAUACAUGCAAGUCGAGCGAACGGACGAGAAGCUUGCUUCUCUGAUGUUAGCGGCGGACGGGUGAGUAACACGUGGAUAACCUACCUAUAAGACUGGGAUAACUUCGGGAAACCGUAGCUAAUACCGGAUAAUAUUUUGAACCGCAUGGUUCAAAAGUGAAAGACGGUCUUGCUGUCACUUAUAGAUGGAUCCGCGCUGCAUUAGCUAGUUGGUAAGGUAACGGCUUACCAAGGCAACGAUGCAUAGCCGACCUGAGAGGGUGAUCGGCCACACUGGAACUGAGACACGGUCCAGACUCCUACGGGAGGCAGCAGUAGGGAAUCUUCCGCAAUGGGCGAAAGCCUGACGGAGCAACGCCGCGUGAGUGAUGAAGGUCUUCGGAUCGUAAAACUCUGUUAUUAGGGAAGAACAUAUGUGUAAGUAACUGUGCACAUCUUGACGGUACCUAAUCAGAAAGCCACGGCUAACUACGUGCCAGCAGCCGCGGUAAUACGUAGGUGGCAAGCGUUAUCCGGAAUUAUUGGGCGUAAAGCGCGCGUAGGCGGUUUUUUAAGUCUGAUGUGAAAGCCCACGGCUCAACCGUGGAGGGUCAUUGGAAACUGGAAAACUUGAGUGCAGAAGAGGAAAGUGGAAUUCCAUGUGUAGCGGUGAAAUGCGCAGAGAUAUGGAGGAACACCAGUGGCGAAGGCGACUUUCUGGUCUGUAACUGACGCUGAUGUGCGAAAGCGUGGGGAUCAAACAGGAUUAGAUACCCUGGUAGUCCACGCCGUAAACGAUGAGUGCUAAGUGUUAGGGGGUUUCCCGCCCCUUAGUGCUGCAGCUAACGCAUUAAGCACUCCGCCUGGGGAGUACGACCGCAAGGUUGAAACUCAAAGGAAUUGACGGGGACCCGCACAAGCGGUGGAGCAUGUGGUUUAAUUCGAAGCAACGCGAAGAACCUUACCAAAUCUUGACAUCCUUUGACAACUCUAGAGAUAGAGCCUUCCCCUUCGGGGGACAAAGUGACAGGUGGUGCAUGGUUGUCGUCAGCUCGUGUCGUGAGAUGUUGGGUUAAGUCCCGCAACGAGCGCAACCCUUAAGCUUAGUUGCCAUCAUUAAGUUGGGCACUCUAAGUUGACUGCCGGUGACAAACCGGAGGAAGGUGGGGAUGACGUCAAAUCAUCAUGCCCCUUAUGAUUUGGGCUACACACGUGCUACAAUGGACAAUACAAAGGGCAGCGAAACCGCGAGGUCAAGCAAAUCCCAUAAAGUUGUUCUCAGUUCGGAUUGUAGUCUGCAACUCGACUACAUGAAGCUGGAAUCGCUAGUAAUCGUAGAUCAGCAUGCUACGGUGAAUACGUUCCCGGGUCUUGUACACACCGCCCGUCACACCACGAGAGUUUGUAACACCCGAAGCCGGUGGAGUAACCUUUUAGGAGCUAGCCGUCGAAGGUGGGACAAAUGAUUGGGGUGAAGUCGUAACAAGGUAGCCGUAUCGGAAGGUGCGGCUGGAUCACCUCCUUUCU
rnacentral:rRNA from 1 species